AUUCCUUUGGUGUAUAACAUAUUAUCCCUUCAAGAUAAAGAUAAUAAGGAAUA
rnacentral:tRNA from 1 species